CUUGAGAAUCUUCUAGUUCAACAGUUCUUAAUUUUGAAUUUAAUUUUAUUUAACUAGACAAAAACAUCAAACUGAUCCCAGAUUUGUACUUAUCGGAAACUGAUCCCAGGUUGGUUGGUAGGAUCCAGACAGUCCUCUGUAGUGGUGAGGUAGUUCUGAGGUAGUGGUUGGUAGGAUCCAGACAGUCCUCUGUAGUUCUGAGGUAGUGGUUGGUAGGAUCCAGACAGUCCUCUGUAGUUCUGAGGUAGUGGUUGGUAGGAUCCAGACAGUCCUCUGUAGUUCUGAGGUAGUGGUUGGUAGGAUCCAGACAGUCCUCUGUAGUGGUGAGGUAGUUCUGAGGUAGUGGUUGGUAGGAUCCAGACAGUCCUCUGUAGUGGUGAGGUAGUUCUGAGGUAGUGGUUGGUAGGAUCCAGACAGUCCUCUGUAGUUCUGAGGUAGUGGUUGGUAGGAUCCAGACAGUCCUCUGUAGUUCUGAGGUAGUGGUUGGUAGGAUCCAGACAGUCCUCUGUCGUUCUGAGG